GCGGGGGCGCUGUGUCGUCUCCCGCCGUCACCGACGGCGUGAGCCCCGGGCGGCGAGGCCGGCGCUUCCACCACAGCCUGUCGUCCUCACGGUUCUGUGAGGCGUCCCUGUGCGCUAACAUUCGCAGAGGCGACCUAAGUCGUGACCACUUCCUGUGACAACUGGUCUCAAAGAUGAUCUGCGCGCAGCGGCGGGAAAAAGGAAACAGAGAAGCAUGACGUGACCCAGGACCCUAAAGAGGCCGACCCACGGCAUCCGGGCCUCCGCCCGCAGUUGUGACAGCCCCCCACCGUUCUUUCCAGAGCAGACCCGGUCAGUCAGUUGCAACACCUUGUCUCAGCCCGGAUUUGAACCCCGAACUACAAAACCUGAAUCCCGCUGCUGUCGCCUGGCCACCCCGUUCAGAAGAAUUUUGGAUUUAGUUUUCCUAUGUGAAAGAAGCUUCGAGGAUAUCAGAAUGUUCAGCUGCUGAUGAGUCAUAAAACCAUCUUUGAAAACAUAUAUUGAAAUGCUCUCCAAAUGUUAACUUUGGAUUCAGGACCAGGAAUCGGGCUCGUAUUUUUAGGAGACCUUCACAAAUUUCAGAAAUUUUCUCUAGCUGCGACAUGAAGAUCAUUCUAGCUCGUCUGAGCUUUGUUUCCCGGCCAGUUCCCCGCACAGUUACAUCACGGCGGUUCUACUCACCACAAGGGAAUGUUUCCGAACGAGAUUCCUGAGAUUCAUUCUGAUUGGAGAUAUUCAGGCCACAUCCUCACCCUCGAAGCUAAGGGUGAAUUCUCUUCUGUUGAAACAUACGGAAUCUAUCAAGGAGAGGUCAACAGGUACCCAGAAUGAAAUUCUCAAGUUCCAAUUUCUCUGCUUUCAAAUUUGGCCACAGUUUUGUCUCACCCCUUACUCCUCAACUUUAUUUCCUACUAAGAUCUUUCUAGGAGACAGGCUAGUCUCACCCCCAAGGAAUAGAAAUGUUUAAACCUGGUUUUGUAUUUCGUGGUGAUCUCGAUAUGUGGACGAUCUUUUCCUUUUUAAUUUCUCCCCAAGCCCCAAUUCAAAACCUACACUGUUUUUCUUCUUGCCAUGAACAAUGACAGUUCAAUUCAAUUAAACAUUUGUGCACUAAGUA